ensembl:misc_RNA Metazoa_SRP Metazoan signal recognition particle RNA
GCCCAGUGUGGUGGUGCACACCUGUGGUCCCAGCUACUCAGGAGGCUGAGGCGGGAGCAUUGCUUGAGCUCGGGAGUUCUGGGCUGUAGUGAGCUAUGCUGAUCCAGCGUCUACAUUAAUAUGAUGACCUCCCUGGACUGGGAGGACCACCAGGUUGCCUAAGGAGGGCUGAACCCGCCCAAGUCAGAGACGGAGCUGGUCAAAGCUCUCAUGCUGAUCUGUCCUGGGGUCACACCUGUGAAUAGCCACUGCACCCCAGCCUGGGCAACAGAGCAAGACUCUGUCCA